rnacentral:rRNA from 1 species
GUGCCAGCAGCCGCGGUAAUACGUAGGGUGCGAGCGUUGUCCGGAAUUACUGGGCGUAAAGAGCUCGUAGGUGGUUUGUCGCGUCGUCUGUGAAAUUCCGGGGCUUAACUCCGGGCGUGCAGGCGAUACGGGCUGACUUGAGUGCUGUAGGGGAGACUGGAAUUCCUGGUGUAGCGGUGAAAUGCGCAGAUAUCAGGAGGAACACCGAUGGCGAAGGCAGGUCUCUGGGCAGUAACUGACGCUGAGGAGCGAAAGCAUGGGUAGCGAACAGGAUUAGAUACCCUGGUAGUCCAUGCCGUAAACGGUGGGCGCUAGGUGUAGGGGGCUUCCACGUCUUCUGUGCCGUAGCUAACGCAUUAAGCGCCCCGCCUGGGGAGUACGGCCGCAAGGCUAAAACUCAAAGGAAUUGACGGGGGCCCGCACAAGCGGCGGAGCAUGUGGAUUAAUUCGAUGCAACGCGAAGAACCUUACCUGGGCUUGACAUAUACAAGACAGGCGUAGAGAUACGUCCUCCCUUGUGGUUUGUAUACAGGUGGUGCAUGGUUGUCGUCAGCUCGUGUCGUGAGAUGUUGGGUUAAGUCCCGCAACGAGCGCAACCCUUGUCUUAUGUUGCCAGCAUUUGGUUGGGGACUCAUGAGAGACUGCCGGGGUCAACUCGGAGGAAGGUGGGGAUGACGUCAAAUCAUCAUGCCCCUUAUGUCCAGGGCUUCACACAUGCUACAAUGGUCGGUACAACGCGCAGCGACACUGUGAGGUGGAGCGAAUCGCUGAAAGCCGGCCUUAGUUCGGAUUGGGGUCUGCAACUCGACCCCAUGAAGUCGGAGUCGCUAGUAAUCGCAGAUCAGCAACGCUGCGGUGAAUACGUUCCCGGGCCUUGUACACACCGCCCGUCACGUCAUGAAAGUUGGUAACACCCGAAGCCAGUGGCUCAAACUCGUUAGGGAGCUGUCGAAGGUGGGAUCGGCGAUUGGGACGAAGUCGUAACAAGGUA